GCCCAGCCGUAAACAAUUAACUCACACCCAUAAGCGCCAGGGAACUACGAGCCAUGCUUAAAACCCAAAGGAUUUGACGGUGUCCCACCCCCCUAGAGGAGCCUGUUCUAUAAUCGAUGAUCCCCGAUAUACCCUACCACCCCUUGCCCAUCAGUCUGUAUACCUCCGUCGAAAGCUUACCAUGUGAACGUCUACAGUAGGUUCAAGGACCCGCAUUAGCGCGUCAAUACGUCAGGUCAAGGUGCAACUUAAGGAGUGGAAAGUAAUUGGCUACAAUUUCUAACCUAGAACAAACGAAAGACUGUGUGAAACCACAGUCACGAAGGCGGAUUUAGUAGUAAAAAGAAAAUAGAGAGUUCUUUUUAACCUGGCUCUGGGACGCGUACACACCGCCCGUCACCCUCUUCGAUAGUGCUAUCACCCCGGUCACUAACCCGUUUCUACGUCUUAGAAGAGGCAAGUCGUAACAUGGUAAGUAUACCGGAAGGUGUACUUGGAAUAUAACAAAAUGUAGCUUAACAAAAGCCACCCGCUUACACCGAGAAGUUAUCUGUUUGACCCAGAUCAUUUUGAGCCUAAAAUCUAGCCCACACAAACCUCAUGAUAUUACCAAGCUACUGUAAAAAAUAAAACAUUUUAACAUCUUAGUAUAGGCGAUAGAAAAAUUAUUAAGCGCUUUAGAUAAAGUACCGUAAGGGAAACAUGAAAUAGAAAUGAAAUAAUAUUAUAGCCACAAACAGCAGAGACACCCCCUCG
rnacentral:rRNA from 1 species